CCUAGCCUGGGAGUGGGGAAUAACACAGAGAAAUCUGUGCUAAUACCGCAUAAUGCAGUUGAGUCGCAUGGCUCUGACUGCCAAAGAUUUAUCGCUCUUAGAUGGACUCGCGUCUGAUUAGCUGGAUGGCGGGGUAGAGGCCCACCAUGGCGACGAUCAGUAGCCGGACUGAGAGGUUGGCCGGCCACAUUGGGACUGAGACACGGCCCAGACUCCUACGGGAGGCAGCAG
rnacentral:rRNA from 1 species